GCCCCCCGCGCGCCUGCCGGGGCCUUCGGGGCGGGAGGUUCCGGCGUCGCGCUCGGCUUUCUCUUCCCGCCCGCCCGACCGCUCGAAGCUCGGUGCGGCCUGAGCCGAGAGAUUUCUCCCCUGAACCGUGAACGGACAAAGAGGCUGCCGCAGCAAGUAAAACAAAACUUGGACGGCUUCACGUCGAGCCCCGCAAGCGGGAUCAGAAUCGGGACCUUGUGCUUGCAAGGCAGGUGGCAGAACCACUGAGCUAAAUCCCUGGCCAAAGGAUUAACUGUUUAAAGUACCAGGAUCGAACUCGGGACCUUGUGCUUACUAGGAAGGCCCAGCUCCGCUGAGCUAAAUCCCCAGCCCUUCAGAGGAGAUUUUGGAC
ensembl:lncRNA